rnacentral:rRNA from 1 species
ACACGACUACAUUAGAUACCCCUGUAGUCCAGGGUGUAAACGCUGCGGGCUUGGUGUUGGGGGUCCUUUGAGGGCGCCCAGUGCCGGAGAGAAGUUGUUAAGCCUGCUGCUUGGGGAGUACGUCCGCAAAGGAUGAAACUUAAAGGAAUUGGCGGGGGAGCACCGCAACGGGAGGAGCGUGCGGUUCAAUUGGAUUCAACGCCGGACAACUCACCAGGAGCGACGGUUACAUGAAGGCCAGGCUGAUGACCUUGCCUGAUUUUUCCG